ACGGCAGGAUCUGGUACGAUGGCGUCCGUGCCUUCGGCUGGAGCCUGUAAGACUCUGAUACUAAACAUAGUGAAAGUAAAGAUGUAAAUGGGCCUUGCAGAUAAGCUUCGCUUCGGUAAACUAGGAAUGCAAACCAACCAACCGAAACCCCAAACCAACCAAAAAAAAACCCAAAAAACAAUCAUCCACUCACUUUAAUGGGAUCUGGGGAGUUCAAAUGUUUGGGGCCCCGUCCGUGAGCUGCUCAUUUCCCUCCUUGUGCAGUUCCCCAAACCACUUACUGGACCGAUCGCAGCUUACAGGUUCAAUGAGUCCAACGACAACAACAGAAAUAUUACAAAUACGCCUGUAUCUCACCGUCUGCGAUUGCCUUUGGUCCAGAAACUACUGCAAGUACUGAAGUAAGUACUGAAACUUCCCAUAAGGAAAAAACCCGAAAUGCCCCAGGAAUAUUUGACUGUACCUGCUGGUUCUGUCUCUGGCAAACGAUACCCUCAUGCAUUAAUGGAAACUAGCGCUUUCUCUACCUCUGCCGUUGCCCUGACGCAGGGGUGAGAAGCAUGCUGCAUCGCCACGACUGUGGCAGCAUCAAGCAGCCGCGCACGGCCGCUCCUCGCGUGCUCCACACCCUGGCCGGCUUGGUGGGCCUCUGCCGAACGUGCACCCGUUUAUCCGCGCCUUGCCUGGGCGGGGGAGUCCCGCGGUGGGUGCAGUAUUGUAGGCCGGGUCUAAGGAGUGCUGGAUAAAGGCGGGUGCUGUGGGGACGGUUUUCAAAGAACAGUGCAAUGACGUUUUACCUGACUUCAGCAGUGGUUUAGCAGUCUCACGCCUUUUGUGCCUUAGAUUUGCCUUCCACAAUAUGGAAUGCGUGGUAAUUAUCCUUACAAAUGAGCUGUGAUGGUUUGAAAGCUUCUGUUGCCGUUUGGAAUCGGUGUACAUCUGCCCUUAAACAAGGUGAAAAUUUGGUGUGGUAACUCUGAGGGCUGAAUUGCUAUUUUUUCCUGCAAUGCUGUAUCCUCUGCAAUUAGAUAACAGCUUAAAAUAUGAUUACUGCUUUUUUAUGUAUCACUGUGUAUAUUAUUAGCAUGUCUGUUUCCUUAAUCUCUCUGCUGUAUCUGGUAUUUUAGUCAUUAAACAAAUCUUAGGGUUGAUGUGUAGAAGAUUUUUAAAAUAAUUAUUUAUUUGCUUAUGAAAUCCUUCGAUGGAGGCAUCUUUUCUAUGAGCUUUGCGAUAACUACUUCCUACGUGGAAUCUCGGACCUGUGUUGUGUAUAUUCACCCAUACGUUCAUCCAGACCUCUUGAACUUUGACUAGCACACACAGAGCCUGCACUCUGAAUGCACAAACACAAUAAAACUCUCAAUUGAGAGCUAAUUUGAUGUCAGCUGAAUAUUCAGCUAGUACCCUGGACCUACUGGUAAUCGAAUACCUGAAACAUCUUGUGCAGAGUGAGAAUUUCCAUUUCUCAGAAGGUACGUUUUUCUCCCAUUCCCAGCGGAGGUUUUCACCGUCACUUUAUCUGAACUCCCUUAAAGCUGAUAGUCAGUUUGGAGCUUCGCUAGGACAUUCUCUCGGGUAGAGGAGUCGUCUUAAUGUGACGGUUAUGCUAGUAAAGGGAAAAUACUACUCUAUAAGUAGUUUUGUACAUGAGAGAGGUUAUCUGGCAGAAGUUUCCUUACCCAUACAGUCGGCAGCAGGAUUCUUUCCUUCCUUCCAACAGAGACGAAACCGGCAGCUGGAUGGGUUUUAACGGUGGGGCAGCAGGGGAAUCUGAGCACCUCUCUAGGCUGUACCUGCCCUCCCGAGGGGGCUCUGCUGUACCAGGACAUAGUCACAGGUUCCCAUGCUGUGUAAUGCCAUGAGAGCAAGACUGGCAUUGUCAUCAAUCUGCAUGGCUGAAACUGGUGUGCGACAUGAAGGUUGCAGCUCUGAUAUACUGAUAUACUGAUAUAGUAUACACUGGCAUGAGCGCGGUAUAGCUGGCGUGGCCAAUCCGAGUCGUAAGGCCAGAUUCUCUGUGAUUUUCCAGCUCUCUCAUGUCUCCCAUGUUCUUCAAAGAGGCUGAAAAGCAGUUAAAGGGUUUUCUGAGAUUUCUUUCAGAGUGUGAAUGUUCUGACGCAUCACAUCAGGAGAUGGUAAAAAACACAUCAAGGCAGACAGAACGUACAGCUAGUCUCACUAUGCCUAAUAUGCCAUUACCUACGGAACCUAGCCUGCCCUACCCUAUGGGAGGGUCAAGGACGAUGGACGUCCUGCAAGAGCAAAAUGAGAACUUCAAAAUCAUAAGAGCAUGUCUAGAGUGCCUAUUCCUCUGCUAGCCCAGGCAGAAAUCCAGCAGAGUUUGACAUUUAUGUCCAUUACAUGUAGUUUAUGUCCAUUAUGUAUAGCGUAUGUUUUUUCCCACCACCUUUGCAGUGCAACCACUUUGGGAUUGGAGUGAUGCAAUACUCAGUACCACUACUAAAAAAACUUAGGGAAUGAUGUUAACAAUAUAACUUUCAGCUCUAGAAAGGGAGGAAACCUAAGUAAGCAGACUACAAAGAAAGCGUACCCAGUCUCUGCUAAAUUUCAGUACUUUGUGAUGAAAAAAACCUCAGAAAGGUCUUGGUUUCCAAGCCUUUGCUGUGUCUCUCUCACUCUUUGUCAAUGGCAGCUCUGACUCGGUAAUCCGUUUUCACUGCCAUCAUCUGCUGAGGUUAUGUGCCUUCUUCCCCAAGACAAACUGCAGCCAUGUGAAGCCAGCAAAAGGCUCCGACAGUAUCAAGAAUAUUUUCCCCAAGAUUAAGGACAAUAUUGAUGUAAAUGUUGCCAUAUUGACUUCCCUGAACCUUCUGGAGUGCUGAGUGAUUUUCCUGCAUGGGUAAUGGAAGUAGCAUGCUCUAUAUACACAGUGCAAGAAGGAUAGUGCUUUUAACUUAUACUUAGGACUCUGUAUUUUAAACCUAAGUAAAAUUUAUUAACUAGUUACCUCUAUCUAAAUAUAUAGAAAGCCAUUCACAUUAUUUUACAUAACAUAUGGAAACAAUUUAAUUGUCUCUGUUGGUUAAUAUGCACAUGUAUAAAACUGACACUGCUCGCGCUGGGAUUGUUGCAGUGAGCUCUACAUAAACUCCUGCUCAGACAGGGCCACUUGGAUCUUCUUUGGCAAUGCUGUCUAGAACUAUAUAUAGAUUGAUCUUUGUGCUAAGACAGGUGCUGACAGAUUCAAUAAGAACAAUGGAGAAAGAAAAAGAAAUGUUAUAGCUAGUAAGACUCAAUGGAGCUACCCUUGUUUAUGCUGGCUAAAGAUCUUGCCACCUAAUUAACACAAAGACAACCAAAAAUUUUGUUAUGGAAAAAAUCAAAAGAAAAAUCAGGCCCUUACCUCUGAUAAAUCCUUGCUGCUUACACCAGCUGCGGACACGCCAGGCCUGUGCUAACCUACAUCUGAAAGCUAUGGACACAUCUUGUGGUGGCCCAGGAGCAGUGCAAACCUCAGUGGUUUCCAGAGCAGGUUAAAAGCCCCUAACAGAAUUUGUUGCUUUCAAGCUCUCACUCACAUCAGCAUGGUGUAACCAGAGCUCUGCUCAACACUACUGCUCUUUUCCCACUGGUGCUUCUGAAGGUGUCUUCAAAGCGCAGUUCCCCGCAGCCACAGAGGGAGUGUUUGGAGCAGCCCAGCAUCUGGCUUUAGGGCCCAUCUUUAAUUCACAUCGGCAACUGUAAAGCUGCCCAUCGACAACACUGAGUUACGGCUCUAUUUGUAAGAGCAGCAGUCACACAGGAGCAGGUCUUGGCCCCUUUUCUCAGAAGGGUACACUCAUCUCUAAGCUGUCUGGAAGCUCUGGAUUUAUGUAGAGGCAUUACGCCUAAAGGACGUGGGGUCUCUGAUUUGGUAUACCCUUCCAGCUAGCGUUACCUAAAAUGGAGUUUCUCCUCACUUUCUAUUCUCUUUAUUGAACCAAAUUUCUGUUUAUAGUCACAUUUGCUUUCUAUGCCAUGCUGUCUGUCACUUGUGUUGAAUAUGGGCUUUGCACACAUGCCAAAUAGUUUGCUACUUGGCAAGAGUUCACUGGCAAGAGAAUUUGCUUCUACGCAUAGUAAUAGGCAUGUUUGGCUAAUAGGCUCUUUGUCUGAAAGCCUUUUGCAUAUUCAGAGCUGCUCAUUUGUCAUGCUAGCCUGACCUAGGCAGCAAAUAUUUAAAAAGAGUCAUAAAUAUGCCCUGUUCUUACUAGAAUGCCAACUGAAGCGUUAGCUGUUUCAUGAUAGUCAUCUGCUGCUCUUUAACUUCCCAAGCGUUGUCCAACCACACUUAUUUCUAGAACAGUUCUCCUGUCCAUCACUGAUAUUUUUUUUUCGCAUUUGGAAUUGCCUUACUCCACUGUCUGUGUUCUUUCAGAGCACAUUUAAUAUUGAAAUGGACAACUCUGAUGAUGUAGUGGUUUUGGGAUGGCAAAUUUGAUAACCUGGUAUAUGCGAAGCUGACAGCUUACGGUCCGUUCUGGUUUUACAAUUAAAAGAAGGUUUUUCUCCCCGUUUCCUGGGUGUGUGUACCAGGGCCUUUGUCACGAUCCACUGUUGGGCUGAACAGUUUGGCAGAGGUUAAACCCCCUUGCUUUCCAACCGACCUCAGAUAAUUCUGGGAGGUUGGGGGCGGCUGGGCUUAACUUCUGAUUAACUCCAAUGUUUUACCAUGACUAGGUUCCUUUUACAUUCUCGGAAACAGAAUUAAGACUCAAAACAGAGUCAAGUGCCAAGUUGCUUUAUUUAGCCAGAAAUAGAUACAGGAGAGAAAAGCAAAGAAAGAGAAAAAAAAAAGGUGAAAAAGGGAAUGAGAGGGACGGAGGGAGGGAGCGAGCGGGACUGUUGCAAUAGCUAUCACCACGGGGGUCCGCGGCAGACUGGCCGGUCCAGGCGGUGAGUCUGGGCAUCCGAUGCAUCUUUGAAGCUGGUGGAGGGGGAGAUGUUCCAGAACGUGCCCCCGUCGUCUCUGCUGGUUUCCCCUUUUCUAAGGUUGCUCUCUUGCACAGUCAGUAACUGCUCUGCAUACCCCUGCCUCCCACUCGGCAGUGGGGCGCAUGCCCAGUACUGUUGCUAGAAGGUGCUUGAAAGUUCUAGAGGGUCCAAGCCCCCUCCAUAUGUUGCCAGUCGGCCUUGGGCCCCCCGGGCGUAUGCGCGGAGGGGAGCGCUCUGAGAUAACAGGGUGCACAUUCCUGCCGGGUUGAUCGGUGAUUAAACUGUUCCGCUCAGCUGCUGGAGCGAUCAGGCUUUAGUAGUGAAACUUGCCCGCCAACAACGUUGAGACAAGUUUCUAGUCCCUGACGGCCUUGGACUGGAAGUACCGCACCCAACUCCUGCCCCCACUUCAAUGCCGUGCUCCGUGCUUCGGGCGGCAGGCAAUACCCGCAUCGCCUGGCAUGGCUUCCGAAUUUGUGCAACAAAGCUGUGACGGAGGGAGUAGUGAAGCUCCACUGGUAACUUGUGCUGAUUGAGCUGAAAGGCCAGGAAUUUCCUUGGGCAUGUGGAGAUGGCGAGUGUCCUUAGUGUCGGGACUGCCUGGCUGGUGGUAUGAAGGUGGCUUCAGGUAUUUGUUGUAACUGGGUUUUUUUUCAUCUCUAAAGUAUAGAUUUUGUCUCAUAACUUCUUUCUUACUGUCAGUAUUUAAUAAAUUGUCUAAAGGUUGAAAGUCACUUUUUAUUUUUAAAUACUGAGACGUAUUACUUUGUUCUGCCUAGAACUAGCAGGUUUGUGGCUAUAACAAGCCAAUUUAUUGGCAGACUAGAAAUCAAUGACAUACAUAUACAGAACUUUCCCUAUUUUAAUUAGACUGUCCAGACUACUUUUUAAACAGAAGUAGGCAAAACGGUACGUUGCAGAAACACACAAAAACCUAAUUUAAAGGGAUUGGGUCAGAGAUCAAACUCUUCCAUUGUUUGCUGUGAACCCCCUUGAAACAGAAAUCCCAAAGCUAACAGUGCAGCACAGAUGACUGGUUAAUUCACACAAAGAAACAAAAUCUGCAAAAGUGUAGGUUACAGCACCAUCUAGUGCCUCUUAUCCCAGCAAUGCAGUAGAUUAAUUUAAUUUUCCACUUAAUUCAAGUAUGUAGGUGGAGAAGACAGUGUGCAUUGGCUCUUUCUACAUUCUGACAACCUAUUUUCUCUCAACUAGUGCCGAGACAGAAGGGAGCUGAGGGAUGUAAAUGAGCUUUGGCAUUUUACAUGGUGAAGAUUUUAUUAGUAUAGUUGCCAUUGGUUCCUCUUCUUUUAUCCUCUUACCAGUCACAUACUAGGGGAUAGUAGGGAAGUGGACACAGGAGCACAUAUGCUGAGAAAAUGGGAGGAAAAUACCACGAUUAAAUAGCAAACUGACCAAAUGGUGUAUUUUGGGGGGGUAGGGACAACUUUUUGGUAGCACAUAUAUUCUGUUUUGUGGGUAUGAAUGACUGUCGAGAGGGAGGUUGGUGUUUGUUUGCAACCACCGUUUGCUGAGAACUGCACCUGUAAUUAAUGUACUUGUCUCAGGUAACCAGCACCCAAACCUCGUUUUUUUUCACCCGAGGAUGACCCUCAGCAGCGCCAAGUGAAAUUCUAACCAUUGCUGUGUUUUAAUAUCCUUUACAUGACCAUCCUUUUCUGUGUUAUUUUUUUCUUCUGGAAAGGUGAUGAACGUCCUCUGACUCCAAACCAAGAGGUUAACCAACAGCAACUUUGCAAUUAGCCUCUAUUCCCAACCAGAAACUGCAAGACACAAAAGAGACAAUGUGAAUUUGGGCAUUAAACCCCGCAGGGUCUGGUGGCACGGGAGAACAUUAUUGCUGAACUGAAAUUGGACAUGUCAAAGAGAACAGCAGAACGUACAGAAUUCUGCCCUGUGAAAAAGGCCUUAUUUGGGAGAUAACAGGGCUGAGAUACUGAGGAACUGUGAAACGCUUGGGAGCACCGGGUGGGAUUAGUGAUUUGUGACAGUCUGCAAUGAAUGCCAACAGCAAUGAACGGUAAGCAUUUUAACAGGAAGGGAGAAAUCCCAGAGCCGUGGCCUGCCAGGUUUGUUUGUUUGGGUUUUUUUUAUAAAGGGGAAGGCGACGAUAAUAAAUGAUGAGGUAGAGCAUUUGUGUAAGUUGGGCAGUGCAGAGGCAGCCUCCCUGAACUGACUUUUUUGGGGGUGUAUCAACUGGGUUUGCAUCCCGUGAA